UACGGAGGGUGCAAACGUUGCUCGGAAUCAUUGGGCGUAAAGCGCACGUAGGCGGUCCUUUAAGUCGGGUGUGAAAGCCCUCGGCUCAACCGAGGAAGUGCAUUCGAAACUGGGGGGACUUGAAUACUGGAGAGGAUGGCGGAAUUCCCGGUGUAGAGGUGAAAUUCGUAGAUAUCGGGAGGAACACCAGCGGCGAAGGCGGCCAUCUGGACAGAUAUUGACGCUGAGGUGCGAAAGCGUGGGGAGCAAACAGG
rnacentral:rRNA from 1 species